rnacentral:rRNA from 1 species
CCUACGGGAGGCAGCAGUGGGGAAUUUUGGACAAUGGGCGAAAGCCUGAUCCAGCAAUGCCGCGUGAGUGAAGAAGGCCUUCGGGUUGUAAAGCUCUUUUGUCAGGGAAGAAACGGUGAGAGCUAAUAUCUCUUGCUAAUGACGGUACCCGAAGAAUAAGCACCGGCUAACUACGUGCCAGCAGCCGCGGUAAUACGUAGGGUGCAAGCGUUAAUCGGAAUUACUGGGCGUAAAGCGUGCGCAGGCGGUUUUGUAAGUCUGUCGUGAAAUCCCCGGGCUCAACCUGGGAAUUGCGAUGGAGACUGCAAGGCUAGAAUCUGGCAGAGGGGGGUAGAAUUCCACGUGUAGCAGUGAGAUGCGUAGAGAUGUGGAGGAACACCGAUGGCGAAGGCAGCCCCCUGGGUCAAGAUUGACGCUCAUGCACGAAAGCGUGGGGAGCAAACAGGAUUAGAUACCCUGGUAGUCCACGCCCUAAACGAUGUCUACUAGUUGUCGGGUUUUAAUUAACUUGGUAACGCAGCUAACGCGUGAAGUAGACCGCCUGGGGAUACGGUCGCAAGNUUAAAACUCAAAUGAAUUGACGGCUGAGAGAGCGAGACGACGACGAGGGAGGAGG